AGUGAGUAUAGAAUGUAAUAUUUAUACAUUCAUUUGAAUGUUAUACUCACUGGUUACAACUUCGGUCUGCUAGCCCCGCCUAGUUCAUGGGUUCGAAUCCCGCCGAUGGCAAGGACGUUUGAUCAUCUCAUCAAUUCACCAACGCACUUUACAUUACCCACGCACAAGCAAAAUGCUCAUGUGAGCAUCAUCCGCAUUAAAAAUUUGAUGAAAUCGAUUUUUGUGUCCUAUUUUUGUGACACCGAAAUCAGAAUAAAUCUCAGUUUAUUAAAUGUCUGGCUGCCCGUAAGUUUCGCUUGAGUGAAAUAAAGUGAGUGAGACAGACUCUAGUUUACUGUGGAUUGAAGCAGGAAACUGAGUCUAUAAAUGAGUACGCAUCGAAAUUUGUUUGCUAUCUUAUCUCCCUCCACCCAGCUGAAAAAUGAUAACACAUUGAGCUUCAAGAAUAGCCUUGUAUCAACAACUGACAAAUUUUAUCCCAAGCUAUUAGCUUAGUUUGCGGCCAGAUUUAGUAAUAAGCGUUUGUCACUCGCGAAAUUUCGAACGAAAGAUUUUAUAUUGAUGUUUGAUUCAAACUGUGGCGGUUUUCUGUGUUUAUAGUUGUGCGUGUUUCUUAUAAAAUCGCUCAAGAAUUGUCAUAGUCCAUCAAACAAAUCCAAUAUCAUCAGCGCAAUUCCUAGUCUGGAUCAAAGAAACCUUCACUAGA